AUACGUAGGGGGCAAGCGUUAUCCGGAAUUAUUGGGCGUAAAGAGGGAGCAGGCGGCAGCAAGGGUCUGUGGUGAAAGCCUGAAGCUUAACUUCAGGAAGCCAGAGAAACCAGGCAGCUAGAGUGCAGGAGAGGAUCGUGGAAUUCCAUGUGGAGCGGGGAAAUGCGUAGAUAUAUGGAGGAACACCAGUGGCGAAGGCUGCGAUCUGGCCUGCAACUGACGCUCAGUCCCGAAAGCGUGGGGAGCAAAUAGGAUUAGAUUCCCUAGUAGUCCACGCCGUAAACGAUGAGUACUAAGUGUUGGAUGUCAAAGUUCAGUGCUGCAGUUAACGCAAUAAGUACUCCGCCUGAGUAGUACGUUCGCAAGAAUGAAACUCAAAUGAAUUGACGGGG
rnacentral:rRNA from 1 species